rnacentral:rRNA from 1 species
GAUGAACGCUGGCGGCGUGCUUAACACAUGCAAGUCGAACGGAAAGGCUCCUGCUUGCAGGGGUACUCGAGUGGCGAACGGGUGAGUAACACGUGGGUGAUCUGCCCUGCACUUCGGGAUAAGCCUGGGAAACUGGGUCUAAUACCGGAUAGGACGAUGGUUUGGAUGCCAUUGUGGAAAGUUUUUCGGUGUGGGAUGAGCUCGCGGCCUAUCAGCUUGUUGGGGGGGUAAUGGCCUACCAAGGCGUCGACGGGUAGCCGGCCUGAGAGGGUGUACGGCCACAUUGGGACUGAGAUACGGCCCAGACUCCUACGGGAGGCAGCAGUGGGGAAUAUUGCACAAUGGGCGCAAGCCUGAUGCAGCGACGCCGCGUGGGGGAUGACGGCCUUCGGGUUGUAAACUCCUUUCGCUAGGGACGAAGCGCAAGUGACGGUACCUGGAGAAGAAGCACCGGCUAACUACGUG